UACGUAGGGUGCAAGCGUUAAUCGGAAUUACUGGGCGUAAAGCGUGCGCAGGCGGUUUUGUAAGUUUGUCGUGAAAUCCCCGGGCUCAACCUGGGAAUGGCGAUGAAGACUGCAAGGCUAGAAUCUGGCAGAGGGGGGGUAGAAUUCCACGUGUAGCAGUGAAAUGCGUAGAGAUGUGGAGGAACACCGAUGGCGAAGGCAGCCCCCUGGGUCAAGAUUGACGCUCAUGCACGAAAGGCGU
rnacentral:rRNA from 1 species